ACCGAAAUACCUCAGUUGGGAGAGCAUUAGACUAGAUCGAAAAUCCAUGGUUCGAUCCCGGGUUUCAGCA
rnacentral:tRNA from 1 species